GAUGAAGAACGCAGCGAAACGCGAUAUGUAAUGUGAAUUGCAGAAUUCAGUGAAUCAUCGAAUCUUUGAACGCACAUGGCGCCUUCCAGUAUCCUGGGAGGCAUGCCUGUCCGAGUGUCGUUUCAACCCUCGAGCCCCCGUGGCCCGGCGUUGGGGAUCUGCCCAGGCAGUCCCCGAAAACCAGUGGCGGACCCGUUACAGGCCCUUCCCUUGCGUAGUAGCAUUCGCCUCGCAUCGGGAGCCGGCGGGCUUCCAGCCUCUAAACCCCCAUCAAGUCCGCCCCGGCGGCACCAAGGUUGACCUCGGAUCAGGUAGGAAUACCCGCUGAACUUAAGCAUAUCAAUAAGCGGAGGA
rnacentral:misc_RNA from 1 species